CAGCACAAACAGAUGGUCAAUGAAACCAAUUAACCUUUCCCGAUCUCCCUUUCAGACUUUUCAUGUCUUCUGAGUCUAUGGACAAAUGAAUAGAAACUAUCAAGAGACUUCAUGCCAGACUGUGAUGAAUAGGAUGGCUAGUUGGUGUACAUGCAGCUUGCUCAAAUAGACCCCAGGACCACUAGGCUGGAGCACCUGAGGAGGGCUUAUUUAACAAAACAGUUACUAGAGCCCAAUCCUGCAGUGCUCAGAGUAUCUCUUACAGGAUGCUGAGCUCUCUUACUCCUGCUUAUGUUCAAGAGGGAUGAGGAUUCCCCAGCACCCAUCUGGGCGCACUCAGAAUCUUAUAGGAUCAGACCUUGAGAAGGUAUGGCUA
rnacentral:lncRNA from 1 species